rnacentral:rRNA from 1 species
UACGGAGGGAGCUAGCGUUGUUCGGAAUUACUGGGCGUAAAGCGCACGUAGGCGGCUUGUAAGUUAGAGGUGAAAGCCCGGGGCUCAACCCCGGAAUUGCCUUUAAGACUGCACUCGCUUGAAUCCGGGAGAGGUGAGUGGAAUUCCCGAGUGUAGAGGUGAAAUUCGUAGAUAUUCGGAAGAACACCAGUGGCGAAGGCGC